rnacentral:rRNA from 1 species
CCUACGGGUGGCAGCAGUAGGGAAUCUUUCACAAUGGGCGAAAGCCUGAUGGAGCAACGCCGCGUGCAGGAUGAAUGCCUUCGGGUUGUAAACUGCUUUUAUAAGCGAGAAAUAUGAUGGUAACUUAUGAAUAAGGAUCGGCUAACUACGUGCCAGCAGCCGCGGUCAUACGUAGGAUCCGAGCAUUAUCCGGAGUGACUGGGUGUAAAGAGUUGCGUAGGUGGCAUAAUAAGUAGCAAGUGAAAUCUGAUGGCUCAACAAUUCAGACUAUUAGCUAAACUGUUAAGCUCGAGACCAUUAGAGGUAGGUGGAAUAAGUAAAGUAGCAGUGAAAUCCGUAGAUAUUAGAAAGAACACCGAGAGCGAAGGCAGGUUACUAGGACGGUUCUGACACUAAGGCACGAGAGCGUAGGGAGCGAACGGGAUUAGAUACCCGGGUAGUC